rnacentral:rRNA from 1 species
AAUAGAUACCCAGGUAGUCCACGCCGUAAACGAUGAGUGCUAAGUGUUAGAGGGUUUCCGCCCUUUAGUGCUGCAGCUAACGCAUUAAGCACUCCGCCUGGGGAGUACGGCCGCAAGGCUGAAACUCAAAGGAAUUGACGGGGGCCCGCACAAGCGGUGGAGCAUGUGGUUUAAUUCGAAGCAACGCGAAGAACCUUACCAGGUCUUGACAUCCUCUGCCAACCCUAGAGAUAGGGCGUUCCCCUUCGGGGGACAGAGUGACAGGUGGUGCAUGGUUGUCGUCAGCUCGUGUCGUGAGAUGUUGGGUUAAGUCCCGCAACGAGCGCAACCCUUGAUCUUAGUUGCCAGCAUUCAGUUGGGCACUCUAAGGUGACUGCCGGUGACAAACCGGAGGAAGGUGGGGAUGACGUCAAAUCAUCAUGCCCCUUAUGACCUGGGCUACACACGUGCUACAAUGGAUGGUACAAAGAGCUGCGAACCCGGCGGGGGUAAGCGAAUCUCAUAAAGCCAUUCUCAGUUCGGAUUGUAGG